rnacentral:rRNA from 1 species
CGGCCGCGGGAAUUCGAUUAGAGUUUGAUCAUGGCUCAGAACGAACGCUUUCGGUAUGCUUAACACAUGCAAGUCGAACGGAUUUAUUUAGAGCUUGCUUUAAAUAAAUUAGUGGCAGACGGGUGAGUAACACGUGGGAAUCUGCCCAUCAGUACGGAAUAACAUUUAGAAAUAAUUGCUAAUACCGUAUAUUCUCUUUGGAGGAAAGAUUUAUCGCUGAUGGAUGAGCCCGCGCCAGAUUAGGUAGUUGGUAGGGUAAUGGCCUACCAAGCCAAUGAUCUGUAGCUGGUUUGAGAGAAUGAUCAGCCACACUGGGACUGAGACACGGCCCAGACUCCUACGGGAGGCAGCAGUGGGGAAUAUUGGACAAUGGGCGAAAGCCUGAUCCAGCAAUACCGAGUGGGUGAUGAAGGCCUUAGGGUUGUAAAGCCCUUUUCAGCAGGGAAGAUAAUGACGGUACCUGACCAAGAAAGCCCCGGCUAACUCCGUGCCAGCAGCCGCGGUAAUACGAAUCACUAGUGAAUUCGCGGCCGCCUGCAGGUCGACCAUAUGGGAGAGCUCCC